rnacentral:rRNA from 1 species
GAUGAACGCUAGCUACAGGCUUAACACAUGCAAGUCGAGGGGAAACGAUGAGAGAGCUUGCUCUCUUAGGCGUCGACCGGCGCACGGGUGAGUAACGCGUAUCCGACCUACCCAUUACAGGUGGGUAACCUGGCGAAAGUAAGACUAAUACCCCGUGGCAGAUUAUGGUGGCAUCUUGAAAGGAUUAAAGAUUUAUUGGUAAUGGAUGGGGAUGCGUCUGAUUGGCUUGUUGGCGAGGUAACGGCCCACCAAGGAAACGAUCAGUAGGGGUUCUGAGAGGAAGGUACACCAGAUUGGAACUGAGACACGGUCCAAACUGCUACGGGAGGCAGCAGUGAGGAAGACAGGUGGAGGGGCGAGAGCCUGACCCAGCCAAGUAGCGUGCAGAAUGCCGGCGAUAUGGGUUGUAAACUGCUUUUAUAGAAGAAUAGAGUGAGAUACGUGUAGUUUAUUGCAUGUACCCUAUGAAUAAGGACCGGCUAAUUCCGUG